CAAUAGCGUAUAUUUAAGUUGUUGCAGUUAAAAAGCUCGUAGUCGGAUUUUGGCUGAGAACGAACGGUCCGCCGUUAGGUGUGCACUGUUUGGUCUCAGCUUCCUGGUGAGGAGGUGUGCUUCACGGCCACUUAGUCACCGUGGUUACUUUGAAAAAAUUAGAGUGUUCAAAGCGGGCUUACGCUUGAAUAUAUUAGCAUGGAAUAACACCAUAGGACUCCUGUCCUAUUUCGUUGGUCUCGGGACGGGAGUAAUGAUUAAGAGGAACAGUUGGGGGCAUUCGUAUUUCAUUGUCAGAGGUGAAAUUCUUGGAUUUAUGAAAGACGAACUCCUGCGAAAGCAUUUGCCAAGGAUGUUUUCAUUGA
rnacentral:rRNA from 1 species